rnacentral:rRNA from 1 species
UGCCAGCAGCCGCGGUAACACGAACUGCGCGAACGUUAUUCGGAAUCACUGGGCUUAAAGAGUUCGUAGGCGGUCUAGUAGGUGAGGUGUGAAAGCCCUCGGCUCAACCGAGGAAUUGCGCUUCAAACCACUAGACUUGAGGGAGGCAGAGGUGAGUGGAACUGAUGGUGGAGCGGUGAAAUGCGUUGAUAUUAUCAGGAACACCAGUGGCGAAGGCGACUCACUGGGCCUCUUCUGACGCUGAGAACGGAUAGCUAGUCGGGCGAACGGGAUUAGAUA